CAGGGAAGAUACCUUACAUUUAUGAGGCCUUCAGCUGAUCUGAGCUGAUCUGUGGGACCAAAAGAAGAAGGAAGUGAUGGUGUGUGAUAUAACCUCAUGUUCUUCUGUGCUUUUCAAGCACUCAUUUUGGGGGAAGCCAGACACUUAUUGUGAGGAUACUCAAGCAGCCACGUGAAAACAGCCACGGCAAGAGCGAAUGCGGCUGACAAGUACCACCCGACAGAAGGCAGGCUUGUAGAAACAUUACACUGUAUCUGCAUCCAUCGUGUUCACUGGAUCUGCUGCCGUGUGACAUCUGAUUCUCCCACAAAGCCAAAAUGACCAUCCAGGACAUCGAGGAAGCUACAACAGUGCAACUAGAGACACAGAAGAUAGCUUCCAGAGCUGCUUCAGAAAGUAGUAAGAACAAUGGCAUAAAUGUGUCUGAGACAAGGGAAAGUAUUUUAAGGGGGGGGUGUUAAUAGUCUUUAAUUGUAAUUUUAAAAAAAAUUUAUACAUUCACCAGAUGUUUGAUUAUACCCAAUAGACAGUCAAUCGAACAAAAUACUAUCUUAAGUAGAUGCACACAUAUUUUCCAAAAUGGUUUUCAGUGGAGGCAGAGGUGCAAAGAAUAAGAAUGGUCUUUUCAACGAAGGGUACUAGAAAAAUUAGUCAUGUAGUCCCACAAAAAGCCUGUCAUCCGCACUUGACAACAUAUAUAAAUGCCUAUUAACACGGACCAUAUAUCUACCUAAAUGUACAGCCUAAAACCGUGAAGCUUUUUGAAGAUGACAUAGGAGACAAACUCAGCUGGGCUCUUUGCUAAGAGAGAAAGGUAAAUGUGUGUUUUGGGGUCACACUUUUACAAAAAUGGCUGGCCUCGACCCAAAAGGUUAUCUGUGUGUACAUUUGCAUAUGCUUCUGUGUGCAGGGGAGGAAGAAGUUCUGCAUGUCACUGGGUAGGUGGCACAUGUUACUUUUUCAAAACUCGAAGAGGAAUUUACUAAAAGAGAGAAAAACAGAGUUUGUCCAGCAUAAAAGAGGAAAAGUAGAAGGAGAAACUGUUUCCACAUAACCCUAGGGAUGAGCAAAGUGACUUCCUGCUCUUCUUACUGAUGAGCAGGGUAGGUGACAUCGAGAAGGAAGGAGGUCUUGUUUCACAAUGAUAUCUCAGACUUGUGAUUUCUAAGCAGGAGCCUGUGCAUUCUGAGUUGGACUUGAGGCCUUCUCUGAAAGUGACAGACAGAUGAGGGAGAGCCAGAGCAAGUGCUUCCUGCCCAGUGGCUUCCCCUGAUUAGUGCAUUACUGUGCCCCUAGGUGCUUAGAGAUCAGGGCUAACAACAUUCCCCACACCAUCCCUUUCAAAGUCUUGAUGCAGUGCAACCCUCAUCUUUGUGGACCCUCUUUACCUUCUCUCUUUUUUCCACGACUCUUACAGCCCUGUGUAAUUGUCUCCCGAAUGAAAUCGGGGUGAAGUAAGCAGGAUGUGGGGUUGAUGGAAAUCUUCUAGCCUGAUUUCCUGCUAACCCACUUCCUGCCCAGGCUCUUCCUGUCUUGGCCUCUGAGUGCUUCCUUCCCUCCUGCCUGAUGGAUCACCCUUACCUUGAUGCAUGCACAACCCAGGAAGUGAGGGAAAAACUCAUCCAACUGCAGUAUGGGGAACAGUGUAUUUAUUGCCCCCCAAAUCACACACUAGAAAGGAAGUGUGGACUGAACAUCCUCCGUCCCCCCACCAAUCCAUAGAUUGAAACCUAACCUCAAUUGAUGGUAUUUGGUGCUGUGGCCUUUACAGUAAGAUGAUUUGGAAUGACAGUAUUUCCCUUGUAAGUGACACCAAAGAGAUGAUCUCUCUUGGUCAUGUGAGGAUCUAGCAAGAAAAUGGUUGUUUGCAAACCAUGAACAGAACCCUCAUCAAAAACUGAAUUAGGUGCCUCGAUCUCACUGUUCCUUAAGUUUCAUGUCUGUGGUAUUUUUAUUAGUAGCUUAAAUGGGUACUGACAGGAAGUGACGGGAGAGACCUGGAGCCCUGGUAUUUACAUGCAAACUCCCUGACUGCCAGGUUUUCUUUGAUGGGAGAGCCCUGGAACCCUGGUUUUUACACGCAAACUCCCUGACUGCCAAGUUUUCUUUGGCUCCUAAAGAUCAAGCAUUAGAUCAAGACCACAAGGCCCCGGUAUGGUGUUCCCCCAAAUCCAUAUGGCCAGCUAAGCAUUUGUGAGCUGCUGAAAGGCUGAGCUGCCUUAACCAUUGCACCAUACCUAUCUCAGUGUUUUGUUUUAGAGCAAGAAUGUCCCCCAAAGGCCUCAGGUGCUCAAAGGUAGGGCUUUUGGAAGGUGAUUGAGUUAUGGGGGGACUUGCUGUUUAGAGGUAAGACCUGUUCAGGGAAAGUGGGUCAUUGAGGGGCUGACCUGGAAGUGUGUAUCUCCCUUCAUGUCUUCUUCCUUCUCUCUCUACUUCCUGAUCACCACGACAUGAACAGCUUUCUCCUAACCAGGCCCUUUCACCAUCCCCUUUCUCUGUUUAAGCCUGUUGAACACAGGCUGAAAUUUCUAAAACUGUGAGACAAAAGAAACCUCCUCUUUUAAGUUGUAUCUGUCAGGUAUUGUGUCCCAGCAAUGAGGAAAGCAACGAAGACACAGCUGAAUAAUUUAUAACAGACAGAAAUGAAUGGGCUCAUAGUUAUGGAGUCUGGGAAACUCAAAGAGCAUAUGUCAACCCCUAGUGAGGCAGCUUGGCAGAGUGUGAUCUCAAGGGCUGGAAGGCAUCCAAAUCAUCCUUUUAAAAUAACACCAAUCCAGGGGCUGGGGAUUUAGCUCAGUGGUGCAGCUGCCU